UACGUAGGGGGCGAGCGUUGUCCGGAAUUAUUGGGCGUAAAGGGCGUGUAGGCGGUUAUUUAAGUCAGGUGUGAAACACCACGGCUCAACCGUGGGGUUGCACUUGAAACUGGAGGACUUGAGUGCAGGAGAGGAGAGCGGAAUUCCCGGUGUAGCGGUGAAAUGCGUAGAUAUCGGGAAGAACACCAGUGGCGAAGGCGGCUCUCUGGCCUGUAACUGACGCUGAGGCGCGAAAGCUAGGGUAGCGAACGGGAUUAGAUACC
rnacentral:rRNA from 1 species